GCUUAUAUAGUUUAAUAAAAAUAUUGGUCUUGUAAAUCAAAGUUAAGUUCUACUUUAUAAACA
rnacentral:tRNA from 1 species